rfam:Lupinus angustifolius cultivar Tanjil chromosome LG04, whole genome shotgun sequence.
GAGAGCCGUGUUAUGGGUGACCUUAUUGCACGGUUCAGAGAGCACUUGUGUAUGUGAUGCAAGUGAACGUGUACGAAAUAAGCUGUAUCUAGGGUGAGUUCUUCAUUCCGU